UUCUGACAAAUAAGAAGUGUUUUAGCACGGUAGUCAGUGUGUUGUGGGCUAGUAAUUAUUGCAAUGUAGAAACAGUAUACAAUGACACACUAAUAAUUACAUGCUUUGCAAGCAGCACAGUUUGGGAUUACCGCUCUCAUUUGCAAACAACUGAACAAUGCACUAAAACUGGGAGAAAACAGAAUAAUGAAAAGUUCACUUUUAUCCGUCGGGUUUUCCCGCAGUGAAAAGGACAUGAAAGAGGAGACAGCUGUGAGGCAACGAGGAAAAUAAUCCAUUAAAGAUGAGAGACAGGAAGCCCGAGAGAUGGAUUUGACUGUCAUCAGCAUAUACAUAAUACUGAAGCCCAAAGGAGCCAACCAAGCUGACCAAAACCAUACAAAUAGAUGGAGGAGAGCCGAAGGAACAAAACAGAGCGGUGUACCGGCAAAGGUGGAGUGCUCACCAUACUACAAAGGCUCAGUGAGAGGGAAGGUCCUGACCAAGACAAACAAGACAAGCGAUGAAGACAGGGCAAUCCGGUCAUGUUCUUGACCAAAGGGAAGGAGUUACAUUGGAAGAAAAAAGACAUUUUAGACUUCAAACAUAAAAGGACGCUUUGAAAAAUGUGUCACAUUGUAGAAUAUCAUCCCUCAAUUAUACAACAAUGCAGAUGACAAGAGCAGAGGUGCUGACAUAGCUUCCAUCCCUGGAUGAGUCAACGAAGCGAUAAUCCUACGCAGACAAAACACAACUUACAGUUCACGCGCUCUGUAUUCGCUGACUCGUACCUACUUACAUAGGUCUUAACGCAGCUGUGCGAAAUGAAAGACCAUUGACAAAGCCUAAGCUGAGCGAGUACGAUAAAGGCAAUUGCAGGAAAAGACCUGGAUUCUUAGAGGGUCAUCAUCGCUUCCAUUAGAAUCCCCCCUCUU